rnacentral:ncRNA from 1 species
UGGUGCUGCUGUCCGUAUUCGCGGAGAGUAGUGAAAAGGGAAUCAGGUGAAAGUCCUGAACAGACCCGCUGCUGUAAUCUCUAUUCAGUUAACAGUUAACAGUAAUCGGUUAACAAUAAUACUGAGAAAAUUUUUGAGCAAGACUCAAUAUCCACUGUCAGAAACAGUGAACAGUUAGAAAUAAAAGUCAACAAUAAAUAAAUUGCUAAUUGAUAUUUGCUAACUGCUAACUGUCAAAGAUGGGAAGGUGCUCAGAAACGGAGUAAGUCAGAAGACCUGCCAAUACAU